rnacentral:lncRNA from 1 species
AUGGGCACACCGUGGGCGCUUUUUGGGUUUCAGUGCUGGGGGCUGGGGGAGCCUCCUCUGCCUCCCAGGGACAAACCUCAGCCACGCUGGCACUGGGGCUGGGGCUGCUGCUGGUCACGUGUGCUUGCCGAGGGAGCCCCGCAGCUGCCCGCAGGGGCUGGGAGCCCGGCAGGACGCGGCGCAGGGGCUUGUGCUCAGCCUGGCCCCCAGAGCAGCCCCCGGCCUUCGGUAGGGUUGGUGGAGACCUGGCCACCGGCUUCGGGUCCCCGUUCCCAGCAGGGGCUGCUCCAUCAGCUCCCAGUUUGGGUGUGGGGAUCUGCAGGGCCUCGGGCUCUGCUGCUUCCCAGGGACAGAUGUCGGCUCUCCGGCUCUCCGAGCUGUCCCACUUCUUGGACGCCUCUCUCCCCGUCCCAGCUUUUUUGGGGGGCUCCCCCGUGCCCAGGCUCUCCCAGGGGCACACGGCCUCUCGCUCGCUGCUCCCCUUCUCCACCGCCUUGGAGGCUCCCCGGUGUUGGGGCCGGGGUCUCGCCUCCCCCGGGGCUGCCCCAGUUCUCUCAGAGGAGGCUCCUUUCCGUGGCAGAGCUGCAGCCGCCUCCCAGGGGCAGAUUUCAGCUUUAUCCCCAGCCCCCAGCUCCUGAGCCUCCCAGGGACAGAUCUCCGUGCUCAGGGCUCUCCCUUGGGGCAGCGCUGGGCUCCCCAAACCCGGGCUGUCCCAGGGACAGACCUCGGCCACGCUGCUCCCGGUGCUCCCCGGUUUGGUGGGGGCAGCUUUUGGCAGCUCUGGGCUCUUUGUGCCCCCCAUGCUCUCCCAGGGGCAGACGGCCUCACGGUCCCAGCUUUUUGGGCUGUCUCCGGUCUCCUUCAAGCCACCUCGCUCCGUGGAGGUGUUCCUGCUCCCUCCGGCCCGACCGCCUCCGUCCUGCCUCAGUUUCCCUUUAUCCGAGGGGACAGCGGCCACCUCCCAGGGGCAGAUCUCGGCUUUGCCCCCAGCCCCCAGCCCCUGAGCCUCCCACGGGCAGACCUCCGCCUUCGGGCUCUCGGUGCUCUGAGCCUCCCUCGCUGCGGGCAGCGCUGGGACCCCCACGCGGGGUUUUGGGGGGUCCCAGGGGCUCACAG